UCUGGCUCAGGACGAACGCUGGCGGCGUGCUUAACACAUGCAAGUCGAACGGUAAGGCCCCUUCGGGGGUACACGAGUGGCGAACGGGUGAGUAACACGUGGGUGAUCUGCCCUGCACUCUGGGAUAAGCCUGGGAAACUGGGUCUAAUACCGGAUAUGAGCUCCUGUCGCAUGGCGGGGGUUGGAAAGGUUUACUGGUGCAGGAUGGGCCCGCGGCCUAUCAGCUUGUUGGUGGGGUAAUGGCCUACCAAGGCGACGACGGGUAGCCGGCCUGAGAGGGCGACCGGCCACACUGGGACUGAGACACGGCCCAGACUCCUACGGGAGGCAGCAGUGGGGAAUAUUGCACAAUGGGCGAAAGCCUGAUGCAGCGACGCCGCGUGAGGGAUGACGGCCUUCGGGUUGUAAACCUCUUUCAGCAGGGACGAAGCGAGAGUGACGGUACCUGCAGAAGAAGCACCGGCCAACUACGUGCCAGCAGCCGCGGUAAUACGUAGGGUGCGAGCGUUGUCCGGAAUUACUGGGCGUAAAGAGCUCGUAGGCGGUUUGUCGCGUCGUCCGUGAAAACUUGGGGCUCAACCCCAAGCUUGCGGGCGAUACGGGCAGACUUGAGUACUGCAGGGGAGACUGGAAUUCCUGGUGUAGCGGUGAAAUGCGCAGAUAUCAGGAGGAACACCGGUGGCGAAGGCGGGUCUCUGGGCAGUAACUGACGCUGAGGAGCGAAAGCGUGGGUAGCGAACAGGAUUAGAUACCCUGGUAGUCCACGCCGUAAACGGUGGGCGCAUAGGUGUGGGUUUCCUUCCACGGGAUCCGUGCCGUAGCUAACGCAUUAAGC
rnacentral:rRNA from 1 species